rnacentral:rRNA from 1 species
AGCGAACGCUGGCGGCAGGCUUAACACAUGCAAGUCGAGCGGGCACUUCGGUGUCAGCGGCAGACGGGUGAGUAACACGUGGGAACGUACCCUUCGGUUCGGAAUAACGCUGGGAAACUAGCGCUAAUACCGGAUACGCCCUUUUGGGGAAAGGUUUACUGCCGAAGGAUCGGCCCACGUCUGAUUAGCUAGUUGGUGGGGUAAUGGCCUACCAAGGCGACGAUCAGUAGCUGGUCUGAGAGGAUGAUCAGCCACACUGGGACUGAGACACGGCCCAGACUCCUACGGGAGGCAGCAGUGGGGAAUAUUGGACAAUGGGCGCAAGCCUGAUCCAGCCAUGCCGCGUGAGUGAUGAAGGCCUUAGGGUUGUAAAGCUCUUUUGUCCGGGACGAUAAUGACGGUACCGGAAGAAUAAGCCCCGGCUAACUUCGUG